CCCAGACUCCUACGGGAGGCAGCAGUGGGGGAUAUUGCACAAUGGGGGGAACCCUGAUGCAGCGACGCCGCGUGGGUGAAGGAGUAUUUCGGUAUGUAAAGCCCUAUCGGCAGGGAAGAAGCAAGACGGUACCUGACUAAGAAGCCCCGGCUAACUACGUGCCAGCAGCCGCGGUAAUACGUAGGGGGCGAGCGUUAUCCGGAUUCACUGGGUGUAAAGGGAGCGUAGACGGCCAUGCAAGCCAGGGGUGAAAGCCCGGGGCCCAACCCCGGAACUGCCCUUGGAACUGUGCGGCUAGAGUGCGGGAGGGGCAGGCGGAAUUCCUAGUGUAGCGGUGAAAUGCGUAGAUAUCAGGAGGAACACCAGUGGCGAAGGCGGCUUACUGGACUGUAACUGACGUUGAGGCUCGAAAGCGUGGGGAGCAAACAGGAUUAGAUACCCCUGUA
rnacentral:rRNA from 1 species